GAUGAACGCUGGCGGCGUGCCUAACACAUGCAAGUCGAGCGGCAGCGAGGGGUGCUUGCACCCUGUCGGCGAGCGGCGGACGGCUGAGUAACGCGUGGGAACGUGCCCCAAAGUGAGGAAUAACUGCCCGAAAGGGUAGCUAAUACCGCAUAUUAUCUUCGGAUCAAAGGAUUUAUCCGCUUUGGGAGCGGCUCGCGUCGGAUUAGGUAGUUGGUGAGGUAAUGGCUCACCAAGCCGACGAUCCGUAGCUGGUCUGAGAGGAUGACCAGCCAGACUGGAACUGAGACACGGUCCAGACUCCUACGGGAGGCAGCAGUGAGGCAUCUUCCACAAUGGGCGAAAGCCUGAUGGAGCAACGCCGCGUGAAGGACGAAGGCCUUCGAGUUGUAAACUGCUUUUAUAAGUGAGGAAUAUGACGGUACCUUAUGAAUAAGGAUCGGCUAACUACGUG
rnacentral:rRNA from 1 species